rnacentral:rRNA from 1 species
AGCAGCCGCGGUAAAUUCCAGCUCCAAUAGCGUAUAUUAAAGUUGCUGCAGUUAAAAAGCUCGUAGUUGAAUUUCGGGACCAUCAUGUCGGUCGUGCCUCGGUACGUACUGGUAUUGUUGGUUUCUCCCUUCUGACGAACCAUGAUGUCAUUUAUUUGGUGUUGUGGGGAAUCAGGACUGUUACUUUGAAAAAAUUAGAGUGUUUAAAGCAGGCUCACGCUUGAAUACAUUAGCAUGGAAUAAUGAAAUAGGACGUUUGAUUCUAUUUUGUUGGUUUCUAGGAUCGACGUAAUGAUUAAUAGGGAUAGUUGGGGGCAUUAGUAUUCAAUUGUCAGAGGUGAAAUUCUUGGAUUUAUUGAAGACUAACUACUGCGAAAGCAUUUGCCAAGGAUGUUUUCAU